rnacentral:ncRNA from 2 species
GACAGUGACACGGGGUGCCGCGAUCCGCGGCUGAGAACAGACCCGUCGAACCUGAUCUAGUUCGUACUAGCGAAGGGAUGUCGCGAUGAGCGAUC